rnacentral:lncRNA from 1 species
CAAGAAACUUCGAGACCGCUCAGAAUCGGACCACCUAGUAGCUAGACGUGAACUUUCGAGGCCUCCGACCCCGUCUUAUGUUCGGUCGUUCCUUUCUAGGCCAUUGUAUCUUUCUUUCGGCUUUUGGGACGGAACCAAGAAACCGAGUCUGGGGCAUCACCGUUCGGCUUUUCUGGGCAAGAAACUUCGAGACCACUCAGAAUCGGACCACCCAGUAGGUAGACGUAAACUUUCGAAGCCUCCGACCCCGUUCUAAGUCUGGUCGUUCCUUUCUAGGCCAUUGUGCUUUCUUUCGGGGUUUUGGGACGGAACCAAGAAACCGAGUCUGGGCAUCACCGUUCGGCUUUUGUGGGCAAGAAACUUCGAGACGCUCAGAAUCGGACCACCUAGUAGCUAGACGUGAACUUUCGAGGCUCGACCCCGUUCUAAGUUCGGUCGUUCCUUUCUAGGCCAUUGUAUCUUUCUUUCGGCUUUGGGACGGAACCAAGAAACCGAGUCUGGGGCAUCACGUUCGGCUUUUCUGGGCAAGAAACUUCGAGACCACUCAGAAUCGGAACCCAGUAGCUAGACGUAAACUUUCGAAGCCUCCGACCCCGUUCUAAGUCCGGUCGUUCCUUUCUAGGCCAUUGUGCCUUUCUUUCGGGGUUUUGGGACGGAACCAAGAAACCGAGUCUGGGGCAUCACCGUAAGGCUUUUGUGAGCAAGAAACUUCGAGACCACUCAAAAUCAGACCACCCAGUAGCUAGACGUGAACUUUCGAGGCCUCCGACUUCGUUCUAAGUCCGGUCGUUCCUUUCUAGGCCAUUGUGCCUUUCCUUCGGCGUUUUGGA